ensembl:lncRNA
CCCAGUCUUCUACCCAGCGCACUUGGACGUAAUAGAACUGGGAGAAACACAACAUCCUGUUUGAAUUUUUAUUGUAAAAUUGGAAAAAAAGGAGAGAAUAAGAGAGAAAAGCCCCAAUAAGCAUUUCUUUUUGAUACAUAUCUCUAUCUUAACCAUGAAAGAAAAAAAGGAAAGCGGCUGAAUAAAUAAUAAAUAAAUAAAAAUAAAUAGAUCAAUAAAUAAAUAAACAUCAAGUUACAUACUUGACCCGAUAAUUAAUUAUAAAAUUAUUUAAUCAUCAAUCAUUAAUAUGAAGUAACCUAAGCAGCAAGUAUUAAGAAAUUUCAACAGGGGAAAAAAUGUUUGGUUUCUCAGGCUAAUACAGAACACAUAGUUGUUGUUUUUUAAUAAGUUUCAGUUUAUAAAAAAGAUACUGCUUUCCCUGUCAGUUAAUCCAUGCUGCACUGACACUGCCACAAAAACAGGUGGCGCUCUCCUUUCAAAAAAGAAGGAAAGAAAGAAAACCAAUACAACCUGUAAACUGCACUUUCUCCUCCAGGUUCCAAGAAUAGUACUGAGAUUCCUCUUUUUGCGCCCUGCAUGUCAGUAAAGUCGUCUCCACCGACCAUACUGCUGUUUUAUAUGUUUUAGUAUGCUUUGUGCUGAGAAACCAGAAAGUUAACAUCUUUAUAAAGCGACCCCCCCCCCCACCCCUCCCCCAUUUCAAACCCUAAUCUAUAAUUUAACCAAAGAAAGGUCCUGUGCUGAUUUUCCAUAAUAUACAGAUUUCAUAUUUAUAAUAAGCUACUAUCCUUAGCAUUCAAACCAUAAAGAAUCAUAUUGUUAAUACUAGUAGUACCGUAAUCUUUAACCCUCCCGGCCCCCAUUGAGCAUGCUCAGAGAUUGAAAGGGGCACCAAUGGUAGGAUGACACAUAUUAAAAGAACAGAGAUAGAAAUGGAUGCAAGAGUGAAAACAAUGCAGAAAACAAACUUCAGUUUGACCACAUGCAGCUGAAUUGGACCAAUUUCCUUUCGGCUUUAGUGGAGCUCCAAUCAGCUCUGGUAAUUCACAAAUGUUAACCCAAUUAAGUCCUUGGAUUUCAGUCGUUUCAUUACAUCCCCCCCCCUUUUCUGGAUUUCAGAGAGGAAACGUAUACUUCUGCUUGUGCGCCACAAACCGCUCUCCACCCGCAAACCUUCGCCGUCUUAAUUGCGUUCAAUCAAAUUUCAUUUCUCUCUCUCUCUCUUGGCAGAAUGAAAUUAACUCAACAUCUUUUCAAACUCAUUAAAUUCCAGCCACAGCUGGCAUCUUUAAUUUGCAUUACCCAAGCUGUUGUGAAGGCCACAUUUAAUUUGAUUUUAAUAAUUUAAAAAACUCUCCAGGAGAAAUCCCAUAAGGAAAGACGUCUUUGAGUGGGUUUAUAAGGCCCUGCAUGGCCCGGGGUAAGGAGGGCAUAUAUCACAGCUUCCUAAAGCGGCUGGCCGCUGACAGCAGAGAGGAAACUAACAGUAACUCACCGGGGGGAACCAAGCUGUCUUCUGGCAAAUAUAUAUAUGAAAUCUAACCUUUUCACUGGGAAGCUCUAUUGUAUAAAAUUACAACCUGAAAGGACCUUCCCUCCUACGCUGUUAUGCUGCAUCACAAAAUCAAAUACUUACUCCCUACGGAUCAAUAUUUCCUGAAAACAAAACACAUUUUCAAGGAAUCUGGCACUCGUUUAAAGUCGGAUGAGGAAAUGCGGUGGAUAUGCUUGCAUAAUUUGGCAAUUCAUGAUGAGAAAAGGCAUUUUUAAAGACUAUUUUUUUUUUUUUUUACAACAUCUAAAGUAUUGCCUGCAAGAGAAUAAUAUACAGCGAAUCUGGCUAGUAACAUUUGUUGAACGGUCUCCUGGUCUACCAAUAAAAAGAGGAGGACGGAGGACUGUAGGUGCGCGGAGGCCGAGCCAGUCAGCGUUGGAAACUCUCUCGCGCGAGCUGGAUGCUAGUUGAACAAUUCAAACCAGUGAAAUGGAGAAAAAUAAAAAAUAAAACUAAAUGAAAAUGAAAGCAGAUUUCAUCUCGGAUGUGUUUCUCUGUAAAAAACAACAACAACACCACCACCACCACCAUCACCAUCACCCCCACCCAAUGAUGCUGGAGGAGUUAAUGGGUCCCAUCUGAUGCGUCGUGACCGCCCGCUAAUGGCGGGGGCUGCCGUCCCGCCGCGGCGGCAGCAGCUGUAGCAGCUACACUUACAGGGCUGUCGCUGUCUCACUGACGGAUCAUCUGCCUCCUAAUUUGACCUCCCACGGCUGGUGGCGCCAGCGCUCGCUGCGCCAUCACACCCGUUGGAAAACAGGAAAAACACAGCUGCUCUUCACCCAAGAACCCUCAGCGACACCCCUGAACCACUUGUUCUCCUUUAGGGGCGAUGGGGCGAUGGGGGGGGGGGGGGAGUAGUUAAAUGCCAACCCCAAAAAGGAAAAAUGGACUCUUGUCACCCAGUCAAUUCAUUCAAAAUGCCAACGCGUAAUUGAUUGCGCAUCUCUCCCCCCCCCAGCUGAACAAUAUUAACAUUAUCCUAAUUAUGCUGGGGGGUAACCCCCGGCCCCCGCUGGGCGAAGGGCAACUGGAAGAACUCCGCGUCUGACACCGGGCUUGGAUGGAGACGGGAGGGAAGUUGUUGCGUCGCUUACUUUUGGCACUACGGGGAGGUUGGUAAUUUUCAUCUUUUUUUUUUUUUUUUUUCCGUCUUCCACUGACACAACAACACCGGCGGGUCACAACCCCCCCGAGAUGAAAUACCGCCACGCAGAUGAAGCGAUGAGUGGCAGAAAAAACAACAAAAAAAAGAUUAUCUGAACAUGCCCCCGAAACAAUGUCUAACCCACAUAUUCUACGCCACUAAAAUAGUAUAGCUUUAUACAUAUUUUUUUCAGUUUUGUUUUAAUAUUCCUUAAACCCAGUAGCUAUAAAUGUAAAAGGAAAACAAAGCAAAACCCAUUUCCUCUUUUUUUUUUUUUUUCAACCUGAAGCUAGUAUUUCUUCUUAAGUUUAACUGGUAAUAUUAUUAGUAGUAGUUUGUAGUAUUAGUAUCAUUAAUACUAUAUAUUACUGUUCAGAACAAUAAAAAUGUUUGGUCCUUUGGUCCCUUAGGGGUGAAAUAUUUGCAGUUCUGCUGUUGCUAAUGGAAACCUCAGUGACCUCCGAGCUUGCUGAGAGAGACGGUGAGAGAAUUAGAGAAAGAGGGAAAGAGAAAGAAAGUCUGUCAGUGGACCAAUAGAAUAGCUCCUUUUUUUCCACUGUUUUUCUUGAUCUUCAAGUUUUAACCCUCAUUUGUCCAGUACAGUAAAAGCCACAAGCGCCUCUUCCCUUAUAUAUAUGUGUAUAUAAUAUGUAUAUAGAAAUCUAUUUGUUGUUGCUGCUUUUUUGUUUGUUAGUUUGUUGCUUAAUUAACAAUUCAAGUCUCAACAAGAAAAAGUUCCGUUGUUCAGUCUCAUCACAUCUUUUUUCAGUUUUUUUUUUUUCCUCCUCGUCUUUCUUGCACUGUGCCAUCUGUUACUGUCAAGUCCCCCGGUGACUCCUCUUUCGCGUCUUCUGUUUUUCCCGCCGUAACCUAUAUCUUCGUAAGUAAAUGCUGAUAUGUCUUCAAAAAUUCCUUAUGUGUUGAUUUUUUUUUUUUUUUUUUUUUAAACAUAUUUUGCUUUCAAAGAAAAAAAAAAAGUUGAACUCCUCCGAGAUAUCUUCACGUGUCCUCUAAAACCUGCA